CUCGUAGUCGCAUUUCUGGCGAGAGGAAUUGGUCCGACAUUUAUUGUGGGUACUCGAUUCUCUCUCGCCAUCCUUGAGUGGUCCGUUCUGGCAUUUAGUUGUCGGAGCGUCAGCCGCUCAUCGUUUACUGUGAGAAAAUUAGAGUGUUCAAAGCAGGCUUAUGCCGUUGAAUAUAUUAGCAUGGAAUAAUAAGAUAGGACCUCGGUGCUAUUUUGUUGGUUUGCGCACAGAGGUAAUGAUGAACAGGGACAGUUGGGGGUAUUUGUAUUUCGUUGUCAGAGGUGAAAUUCUUAGAUUUACGAAAGACAAACUACUGCGAAAGCAUUUACCAAGGAUGUUUUCAUUGAUCAAGAACGAAAGUAUGGGGAUCGAAGAUGAUUAGAUACCAUCGUAGUCUAUACCAUAAACUAUGCCGACUCAGGAUGGGCGGGUGUUGUAUGACCUCGUCUGCACUGUAUGAGAAAUCAAAGUCUUUGGGUUCCGGGGG
rnacentral:rRNA from 1 species